rnacentral:lncRNA from 1 species
AUGCUCCUCUCCUGCUGCCCCCACCAGCCCUUUCUCCACCGUUACCAUCCCUCCCCCAACCCUGCCCCAUGUCUCAGGGCCCUGCGUGCACAGGGCAGGGGAGAGGUGAGGCGAACCCCCCCCCCCCGGGUUGUGGUUUUGUGGCAUUUGGGGUGUUCACAGGCACCAGCAUGGAGGCAGAGGAUUUCUGCAGAGCCAAGCAGAACCCCGGGGCUGAGGCUGGAGCCGUCAGCCCCACGCAGCCAUGCUGGGACCCCAAGGUUCAUGUGCCGGGGUCCCUGCUCCUGGCUCCCCGCAGCGUGGCUGCCUGCUCUGCUCUGCAUCCCACCGCUGCCCUGGCCAAGCGAGGGCAGGCAGGGACGGGAGGUGCUGACCCCUCGGCUGAGAUUAGCUUUCUCAGUGCUGGAGGCACCAGCCGUGGCUUUGCAGCCUGGGGCAGCCACUGUGCCUGGCGCCCACGGGUGUCUGCAGUCAGCACGUCCCUGGCGUGUCAAAGCUUUGCUGCAGAGGCUCCAAGGGAUUUGGUACCAGGAGCAGGGGACUGUCCUCAGGACACUUUGGGCCCGUGGCCCUGCUACUACACCCUUGGUGCCAGCACAACACCCCUGCAGCUGGAGAGCUUUGCAGGUCACGGUGCCCAGGCAGCAUCAGCACCGUGACCCAAGCUGGUUCCUGAAGUGCAAGGACAGGGAGCCCUGGGAUGGUGUCCCCAGGCAGUGCAGGUCCUGUCUCACUCCAGCCAUCAGCCGUGUCCAGGAGAACAGCCAAGGGGAAGAAUGGGACAGGGACGGAGCCUGUCCCCUGCCUGCCUGCAGGCGAUGGUGGCAGAGCAGCGGGGCAGGAGGGAGGUGCAGGGUCCAGGCUGCAAACAGCCUGGAGAUGCUCCUGUGCCAGCACGUGCCCAGGGACUCGGGGAGCUGGGGGGCAUUGCAGCCCCCUCUUGCAGUUACCUGCCCAAAUGCAUGGGUAAGGAGUAAUAAGAAUUGUCUUGUGCUUCAUGCCAGGCCAAGCUGA